GCGGGCGUGGCGGAAUGGUAGACGCAUGGGACUUAAACUCCCUGGGGCAACUGCCCGUGCGGGUUCAAGUCCCGCCGCCCGCACCA
rnacentral:tRNA from 1 species